UUGAAUGAGGAAGAGAUGUUGUUCCAGUAAAAGAUGUAAGAGCUAUAUUACGCCUAGCUGCGUGUUUUCUUGCCGAAGCCCUUCUAGAUGGGCAUUGAGUCGCAAGAUCGUAUGCUGUAAAUUAAGAGAACCAAAACACUUAAGUUCAAGGGACAAUAUAACAAAGGUCAAUUAAAUAUUCUUUCAUGCAUUAAAGGUUAAAGUGUAAAGUUAUAGACACAUUGAAUUAAUAUAAAAAAAAAAUUUGUCUUGAAAAUAAAUUAUAUACGCAUAUCA